GAUGAAGAACGUAGCUAAAUGCGAUACUUGGUGUGAAUUGCAGAAUCCCGUGAACCAUCGAGUCUUUGAACGCAAGUUGCGCCCGAAGCCAUUAGGCCGAGGGCACGCCUGCCUGGGCGUCACACGUCGUUGCCCCCCCAUCUACUCCUUCGGGAUUGCGGGGGGCGGAUGAUGGCCUCCCGUGCGCCUCGUCGCGCGGUUGGCAUAAAUACCAAGUCCUCGGCGACGCACGCCACGACAAUCGGUGGUUGCGAAACCUCGGUUGCCCGUCGUGUGCGGUCGUCGCGCAUCGAGGGCUCGAAAAAAUUGCCGGGCUCCGGCUCGGCUUUCAACGCGACCCCAGGUCAGGCGGGGUUACCCGCUGAAUUUAAGCAUAUCAAUAAGCGGAGGA
rnacentral:misc_RNA from 1 species